AAUCUUGGCCGAUCUGGCCUUGCUCUUGUAUUUCCCUUGGUACUGUGUUAACUUUCUGUGUAUGAUCUGGCCCAUACUCUGACCUUGCCUCUGCCUCGUGCCUGGUUACUGGUUCUGUCCUCUAGUAAAGGACCCGGCCCGCAGCUGAUACCUGACUCCCAUAAGAACAAACCUGACAGCUUAGAGCUGAGACUCUGCUGAAUCCCACAGCUUCAUCGUAUCGUAUCUGUUAAUCUGGGGAGCAAGAGAAAGGGGUCGUUAAGAUGGUCUGAGUAAUUAUCAAAGCCUGCAGCUAUGUGGCGCACAAGAUCGGCAGUCUCUGCAGAAGCGAAGAUAAAGAGGAACAUCCAAUCACCAUAUCCACUCAGAAGGAUGUAAUGAGCAGUGGAAAUGUGAUGCCAAAAGGAGAUGAACCAAUGAAAAUGGAGACUGCCAAGAAAGAUGCCCCACAAUGCGUAUCUGGGGGCUGACGAAUGUAAAGCCAGGCACUUGCCUGGGAGCUAAUGAUAUACAAUGCCCAAUGUUACUAUCACAGGAGAAAAGAAGAACACUUGUGUCUCAAUACACCUGAAAACAAAUUUAGUUUAGCAAAAACAUCAAAACAUUACAAAUGACCAUAUUAGUAAGAUUCGGAGAAAUGCCCAAAUUUACUUAGUUCAUAGAUCAGCAGAAUAUAUUGAAGUCUGUAGAGCAAUGACAGGCAGUGACGAAUGGUGACAGCUUUAUAAACUUCCGUCACAGGGGGAUGAGGCUGUCGGAAAAUAACCUGAUCUGUCAUUUCUGCAGCAUUUUACCUUUCAUGCAAAGAAUAAACAAAUAAAGAAUUCUUGACUAAAACGAAUGUAUUCAGUCAACAAACUA